GAUGAAGAACGUAGCGAAAUGCGAUAAGUAGUGUGAAUUGCAGAAUUCAGUGAAUCAUCGAAUCUUUGAACGCACAUUGCACCCCUUGGUAUUCCAUGGGGCAUGCCUGUUCGAGCGUCAUUUGUACCUUCAAGCUUUGCUUGGUGUUGGGUGUUUGUCUCGCCUUUGCGUGUAGACUCGCCUUAAAAUAAUUGGCAGCCGGCGUAUUGAUUUCGGAGCGCAGUACAUCUCGCGCUUUGCACUCAUAACGACAGCGUCCAAAAGUACAUUUUACACUCUUGACCUCGGAUCAGGUAGGGAUACCCGCUGAACUUAAGCAUAUCAAUAAGCGGAGGA
rnacentral:misc_RNA from 1 species